rnacentral:rRNA from 1 species
ACGACCUACGGGUGAAAGGGGGCGCAAGCUCUUGCUAUUAGAUGAGCCUAAAUCAGAUUAGCUAGUUGGUGGGGUAAAGGCCCACCAAGGCGACGAUCUGUAACUGGUCUGAGAGGAUGAUCAGUCACACCGGAACUGAGACACGGUCCGGACUCCUACGGGAGGCAGCAGUGGGGAAUAUUGGACAAUGGGGGCAACCCUGAUCCAGCCAUGCCGCGUGUGUGAAGAAGGCCUUUUGGUUGUAAAGCACUUUAAGCAGGGAGGAGAGGCUAAUGGUUAAUACCCAUUAGAUUAGACGUUACCUGCAGAAUAAGCACCGGCUAACUCUGUGCCAGCAGCCGCGGUAAUACAGAGGGUGCGAGCGUUAAUCGGAAUUACUGGGCGUAAAGCGAGUGUAGGUGGCUCAUUAAGUCACAUGUGAAAUCCCCGGGCUUAACCUGGGAACUGCAUGUGAUACUGGUGGUGCUAGAAUAUGUGAGAGGGAAGUAGAAUUCCAGGUGUAGCGGUGAAAUGCGUAGAGAUCUGGAGGAAUACCGAUGGCGAAGGCAGCUUCCUGGCAUAAUAUUGACACUGAGAUUCGAAAGCGUGGGUAGCAAACAGGAUUAGAUACCCUGGUAGUCCACGCCGUAAACGAUGUCUACUAGCCGUUGGGGUCCUUGAGACUUUAGUGGCGCAGUUAACGCGAUAAGUAGACCGCCUGGGGGAGUACGGCCGCAAGGUUAAAACUCAAAUGAAUUGACGGGGGCCCGCACAAGCGGUGGAGCAUGUGGUUUAAUUCGAUGCAACGCGAAGAACCUUACCUGGUCUUGACAUAGUGAGAAUCUCUCAGAGAUGAGAGAGUGCCUUCGGGAACUCACAUACAGGUGCUGCAUGGCUGUCGUCAGCUCGUGUCGUGAGAUGUUGGGUUAAGUCCCGCAACGAGCGCAACCCUUUUCCUUAUUUGCCAGCGGGUUAAGCCGGGAACUUUAAGGAUACUGCCAGUGACAAACUGGAGGAAGGCGGGGACGACGUCAAGUCAUCAUGGCCCUUACGACCAGGGCUACACACGUGCUACAAUGGUAGGUACAGAGGGUUGCUACACAGCGAUGUGAUGCUAAUCUCAAAAAGCCUAUCGUAGUCCGGAUUGGAGUCUGCAACUCGACUCC